CUUCCACUGACAUGUUUGUGAUCUCGAUUUAAUCCCGUAAACAAACAAGUGUGAGGACCCUCAUAUUUUAUGAUUUGAAAAUAUCCAUAUUUUUUCAACAACGCAGCACGAAGCCUCCAUUUACAAUUUUGAACAUUAUCUAAUGAUGCGCAUCGUAUGGACCAUAAUUUCGAAUGCGACUGAACUACGUUGUAUGUCCGAUGCUUCAUAAUGUGAUAAAGAUUAAUAGCUCUUCUUACAUAAUCUUUACUC
rnacentral:lncRNA from 1 species